rnacentral:rRNA from 1 species
AAACUGCCUGAUGGAGGGGGAUAACUACUGGAAACGGUAGCUAAUACCGCAUAACGUCGCAAGACCAAAGAGGGGGACCUUCGGGCCUCUUGCCAUCAGAUGUGCCCAGAUGGGAUUAGCUAGUAGGUGGGGUAACGGCUCACCUAGGCGACGAUCCCUAGCUGGUCUGAGAGGAUGACCAGCCACACUGGAACUGAGACACGGUCCAGACUCCUACGGGAGGCAGCAGUGGGGAAUAUUGCACAAUGGGCGCAAGCCUGAUGCAGCCAUGCCGCGUGUAUGAAGAAGGCCUUCGGGUUGUAAAGUACUUUCAGCGGGGAGGAAGGUGUUGUGGUUAAUAACCGCAGCAAUUGACGUUACCCGCAGAAGAAGCACCGGCUAACUCCGUGCCAGCAGCCGCGGUAAUACGGAGGGUGCAAGCGUUAAUCGGAAUUACUGGGCGUAAAGCGCACGCAGGCGGUCUGUCAAGUCGGAUGU